AGAAGCAGAGAUAAAACAGACUAAGUACACAGAGGAGUUUAAGGUUUCGUGAAUGUAAGUGCUGAGUACAGAAUGGUGCUCAAUAAAAGCUUGUUAAUUGAUGGACCACAGGUUUGUGACAAGACUUCUCAGAGUCUGAUUCUUUCAAGGUGGGAUAUAAGAGUAAGUAAAUGGCAUGGGGAAAAUCUGAUUGCCACAGACAGAAGAAUGAAACUGGAUGCCUAUUUCUCACAAUACACAAAAGCGAUUCAAGAUUAAAGACUUAACUAUACCUUGACUAUGAAUAAUAGUUUCAAUAAGGAAGACAGAAUGAGUUCUGACACGAUGGUUGGGAGCUGUGACAGGCAGACGAAAAAUGGAGCCAAAUGGCAUGGAGGUGUGUCAUCACUGCUGGAUUUUACCUUGAUCUACAUUCAGUUAUCUACUUCUUUUCAAAAUGCUGGGCAUUCAUUCAAGAAACAGCAUAUAUGUUCUGACUUUGAAGUAAUGGAUGAACUGUCAUGUGCAGUAUAUGGAAAUAAGUUUUAUUACCUUCUUCCCACAUUAACUCAUCCAUCCAUUCAAUAGCCAUUUAUUGAGAAGCUCACUCUGUGUUAGGCACAGUGGUGUCAUGAUGUUGGAACAGUAACAAUAACUCAACCAACCAGGGCUUGUCUGAAUACAAUCCUACAGCAGCAGGAGCUGUGGAGAUAUAGAAGGCAAGGAAGACCAGGUUGUGAGGGAAGACGAAUUUACUCCCAGGAAUGUUGGGAUUGAGAGUAAUAUUCUCCAAUAAUGGUGGAAGACAGAACAAUAAAAGCCCACCAGCUCCUUCUGCAUGGUGGGAUAAGAGAAAAGCCAAGGGCAGAAGUGAGAAAAAUAACCAUCACCAAACUGAAAAGAAAACCUUUAUAAAAAAACUGGAUUGAUAAAUGACCUUUAGUAGUGGAAAGAUACCAUUCCAAUGAAGCAUGAAUUGAAAGGAUUUCUUCUGAAAGCUAAUUUACAUUUUUCUUUUUUUUUUUUUCAUUUUCAGUGUGUUUUAGCAGGUGUAUUGUUCUACAUGGUUAGUUUCUUUACCUCUUUGAGAAAAAUGGGUCAGCUUGACACAUCUGGAUGAAAGAAUCCGUUAGGUGAUUAUGAUUGAAGACAGAUUAAGCCUUGUUAUGAGGGGAAUAUUUGGGGGCUUACCCUGAGGUGAUAUUUGAUGAUUUAGCUGUGGGAGAAUUUCCCUCCCAAGAUCAGCGUGACUGACACUGAAAUUGCUACAGGGGAACCGGACCUUUCCAAGAGGUGACAAGGACAUUUACCUGGUACAACACAAUGGUUCUGGACUGGAAGUCUAGUCCCAUUGAUGAAGUUCCCAAAAGAUGUCCAGGUCCUAAUCCCUGGAAUCUGUGAAUAUGUCAUCUUACACAUCAAAAGAACUUUGAAAAUGUGAUUGAGGUUAAGGACCUUGGAAUGAGGAGAUUACCUUGGAUUAUCUGGUUGGGUCCAAGCUAAUCACAUGAGUCCUUAAAGGAGAAGAACCUUUUUUAGCUGGGUCAGAGAGAGAUGUGAUGAUGAAAACAGGCUCAGGGAGAUGCACUGUAAGAAGGGCUUGACCAGUUGUUUUUGACUUUGAAGAUGGAGGGAAGGGCCAGGAGCCAAGGAAGGUGGGUGGCUUUUGGAAGGUGGAAAAAGCAAGGGAACAUUCUCUCCAGAGCCUCCAGAAAGGAGCUCAGCCCUGUUGACAUCUUUGUUUUUAUUUUUUAUUUUUAGUAGCAUUGAGGUCUCACUAUGUUGCACAGGCUGGUCUUGAACUCUUGAGCUCAAGCACUCCUCCCGCCUUGGCUUCCCAAAGUGCUGGGAUUAUAGGCAUGUGCCACCACAUCUGGCUUCCUACUGACAUCUUAACUUUAGUGCAGUGAGACUCAUAUUUGAAUUUCUGACCUUAUAUUAUAGAACCAUAAGACAUUAUAGAAUUAUAUAGAAUUAUAGAACCAUAAGACAAUAACUUUGUGUUGUUUUAAGAUACUAAAUUUUUGGUAAUUUGUUAUGGCAGCACAAUAAAACCAAUAUAGCAUUAUAUU
ensembl:lncRNA RDUR RIG-I dependent antiviral response regulator RNA